GAGUUUGAUUCUGGCUCAGGAUGAACGCUGGCGGCGUGCUUAACACAUGCAAGUCGAACGGAACGUAACCGAGGAAAUUUUUCGAAGUGGAAUCGGUUACGUUUAGUGGCGGACGGGUGCGUAACACGUGGGCAACCUGCCCUGCUUUUCGGAAUAACGCCGGGAAACCGUCGCUAAUGCCGAAUGAUAUGAGAAGAAGGCAUCUUCUUUUCAUCAAAGAAUUUCGAAGCAGGAUGGGCCCGCGCCGGAUUAGCUGGUUGGUGAGGUAACGGCUCACCAAGGCGACGAUCCGUAGCCGACCUGAGAGGGUGAUCGGCCACACUGGAACUGAGACACGGUCCAGACUCCUACGGGAGGCAGCAGUGGGGAAUAUUGCACAAUGGGCGAAAGCCUGAUGCAGCAACGCCGCGUGAGCGAUGAAGGCUUUCGAGUCGUAAAGCUCUGUCGCAGGGAAGAAAAAGACGUACCCUGGAG
rnacentral:rRNA from 1 species